CACCACAUCCCCCCGGAGACCAUCUCACCACUCCAGCCAGUCUCCGCAGCUCCAGGCGACGGACUCCUUCGAUCUAGUUGAAGCGCCGGCCCGCCCUCCGCUGCCACCAAGGCGGCGUCGAGCGUGCGGCGGCUGAGCAUCCAUUACGCGGUGGAUUCCAAUGGGCACUGUGCAUGUGGCGGUAUUACUCUCACAUACAUCAAUGCAUCACUUCAAAACAAGAGAGGAAUUCAUAUAUAUCUAAUCCAGAAACAAGCCUGCAGAUUUGGCUGGAGCAGUAGUACAAAAGAUGGAAAAGGGGGAGACACGAACUAAGUUCGGGCAGGUUCAUUCGCUCGAUUUAGAUACAUUAUAAGGUCCUUUCCGAAAAAGGUACUAAUAGGCUACCGCAUGGAUCAAUCCUGUCCGCAAUAUAACUUAGAUACUUUUUCCUGUUCGGGAACCGAGAAACGAGCUUGCUAGCUGAGUCGCAGCUCUUUGCUCUAUUUUUGGCUAUUCUUCUCCAUCUGGUGCCUCACUUUGGAGCAAGCGCAUCCUUUUAUAGGCACGAGAGCAGCCCAUGGGAUAGCUUCUGGGAGAAUUCACCUGCAUAAUUUCCCUCUUCUUUCUUCUUGGCCAUCAUGCACCUGGUCUAUAGGUCUUUUAGGCUUUAUAGGCUUUGCAAACAUUUGUAGCCCUUUUUUCGAGGCCAUAAUUUUGGUGCA